GAGAUCAGGAGAUCCCUGUCUGAGAAGUCUCCCUCUGCUCAGGGGAAUAUUCAUGUUGCCUCUGAGUCCUCAGGAAGGGAACCCAUGAACGAGGCUGCAGCAGAGGAAGAUUCAUCUGGCACCAAGAACUGCGAUGACAGUUGCCCAGAGCCUGAGGAGCCUGAUGCCAUCUGAGGGAUG